rnacentral:lncRNA from 10 species
GGAACUUGCCUGUCAAGACAGUUCUUUUUGUAAACCUAAGAACCUGAGAGCAGGGAGAUUCCAGCUGCUAGGAGUUAAAUAAUUCCUUUGGCACUUAGCGUCCUAUCAAAACAGAGAAGCAAAAGAAAACAAUGAGAGCAACACCACCACCUCAAACAGGUGCCCUGUGCUGGGCCGUGUCCUGAGAGUGCAUAGGAGAGACAUCGAGACAUCCACAAGAUAAUGCCCAUUUCACUUGAUCUUCUUCAUGUCUGGGGGAAACCAAGACACAGGGAGGUUAAUGAAUGACCUGCCUGAGGGUCUCAGAUAGUCAUGAGCAGAAUCCCAUUCAAGCCUCAGGAGUUUGGCUCCGGAGUCCAGGCCUUCCACGGCUGCUGCACAGCACAGCUUCCUGUCAGCUCAGAACUCUGACCUCCCUGCAGGUGCUGGGUGGGGGCAGAGGGGACAGCGACCCUGGUCCUGCCUGUAGAGCGUACUGGAGGCUGAAUCAUAAGUCAGUGUUGGCAGCUCCAGACUGAGGAAGCGCCGGCCGGGCCAUCUUCACCCGCUGGUAUUCCCUGGGUGCGCAGCAGUAGCAGAGGGCAGGAAUGCAGGAAGUCGCUUUACCCCAGGCUCUUGAGAAAUACAGUCAUAUUUAACCCCUGAAACCACUGCCUGAGGUUCUCUGUCACCUCAUUUUGCUGAUUAGGCAAUCGGGGCACAGAGACAAUGAGCCACUUACCCGAGGACACACAGCUCCCAAGUGCCAGGGCAUGGCCCCAAGGGCAGGAAGUCAGCCUGGUAACACCCUCUCAGGUGCUUUGAGAAAAGUCUAGGGGCUGGUGUGCUUGUCACCAUGUGGCUGGGCUAAGAGAUGAGGAUCUGGGCUUCCUGGUCAGGGGAACGUCAUGAGGAGCCUGUGCCAGUGCUGUGUGCUUGGCGUGUGCGUGUCGGCAGCUCUGUGGUGGUUCUUCAGGGCACCCUGAUGGGAGUCCCUCGCCUUCUCUCCACAGCGCCUUGGGUGUCUCCUCCUGGAGCGAGGCAUUGAACCUCAGGUGAUGUCAGCCCUGGUUCGUCUCGGCCUCAGAGGAGCCCGGCUAUUUUUCCUGAACAGCCCCCCUUCCUCCCUGGGAGACUUUCGGGGUGGCCAGCGUGCUUGCUUCCCAGGCAGGCUGAGGUCUACCUCCCCGCAGGCGUCUGGCCUCAGGCCUGCAGUGGAUGAUUGUGGGCUGUGUGGCCUUUGCCUUUAGGGGUCGUCCCUUCCUCCAUAAAAUAAUCCUAACAGUUGUGUUUUGCGUCUAUUGUGGAAUAAAGAUGAGUAUUACACAG